AUUGAACGCUGGCGGCAGGCUUAACACAUGCAAGUCGAGCGGAGCGAGGGUGCUUGCACCUUAGCUUAGCGGCGGACGGGUGAGUAAUGCUUAGGAAUCUGCCUAUUAGUGGGGGACAACAUUCCGAAAGGAAUGCUAAUACCGCAUACGCCCUACGGGGGAAAGCAGGGGAUCUUCGGACCUUGCGCUAACAGAUGGGCCUAAGUCGGAUUAGCUAGUUGGUGGGGUAAAGGCCUACCAAGGCGACGAUCUGUAGCGGGUCUGAGAGGAUGAUCCGCCACACUGGGACUGGAACACGGCCCAGACUCCUACGGGAGGCAGCAGUGGGGAAUAUUGGACAAUGGGCGGAAGCCUGAUCCAGCCAUGCCGCGUGUGUGAAGAAGGCCUUUUGGUUGUAAAGCACUUUAAGCGAGGAGGAGGCUACUUAGAUUAAUACUCUGGGAUAGUGGACGUUACUCGCAGAAUAAGCACCGGCUAACUCUGUGCCAGCCGCCGCUGUAA
rnacentral:rRNA from 1 species